rnacentral:rRNA from 1 species
GAUGAACGCUAGCGGCAGGCCUAACACAUGCAAGUCGAGGGAGAAGCCCUUUCGGGGGCAGAAACCGGCGCACGGGUGCGUAACGCGUAUGCAACCUACCUUUCACAGGGGGAUAGCCCGAAGAAAUUUGGAUUAAUACCCCAUAAUAUUAUUGGAUGGCAUCAUUUGAUAAUUAAAACUGCGGUGGUGAAAGAUGGGCAUGCGUCCUAUUAGCUAGUUGGAGUGGUAACGGCACCCCAAGGCUACGAUAGGUAGGGGUCCUGAGAGGGAGAUCCCCCACACUGGUACUGAGACAGGGACCAGACUCCUACGGGAGGCAGCAGUGUGGAAUAUUGGUCAAUGGUCGGUAGACUGAACCAGCCAUGCCGCGUGCAGGAAGAAUGCCUUAUGGGUUGUAAACUGCUUUUAUAUGGGAAGAAUAAGGUGUACGUGUACAUUGAUGACGGUACCAUAUGAAUAAGCAUCGGCUAACUCCGUG